rnacentral:rRNA from 1 species
GACGAACGCUGGCGGCGUGCCUAAUACAUGCAAGUAGAACGCUGAAGAGAGGAGCUUACUCUUCUUGGAUGAGUUGCGAACGGGUGAGUAACGCGUAGGUAACCUGCCUUGUAGCGGGGGAUAACUAUUGGAAACGAUAGCUAAUACCGCAUAACAAUGGAUGACACAUUUCAUUUCUUUGAAAGGGGCAAUUUCUCCACUACAAGAUGGACCUGCGUUGUAUUAGCUAGUAGGUGAGGUAAUGGCUCACCUAGGCGACGAUACAUAGCCGACCUGAGAGGGUGAUCGGCCACACUGGGACUGAGACACGGCCCAGACUCCUACGGGAGGCAGCAGUAGGGAAUCGUCGGCAAUGGGGGCAACCCUGACCGAGCAACGCCGCGUGAGUGAAGAAGGGUUUCGGAUCGUAAAGCUCGGUUGUAAGUCAAGAACGGGUGUGAGAGUGGAAAGUUCACACUGUGACGGUAGCUGACCAGAAAGGGACGGCUAACUACGUG